rnacentral:rRNA from 1 species
AUUGAACGCUGGCGGCAGGCCUAACACAUGCAAGUCGGACGAGCGGCGGACGGGUGAGUAAUGUAUGGGAAACUGCCUGAUGGAGGGGGAUAACUACUGGAAACGGUAGCUAAUACCGCAUACCAUCGGAUGUACCCAGAUGGGAUUAGCUUGUAGGUGGGGUAACGGCUCACCUAGGCGACGAUCCCUAGCUGGUCUGAGAGGAUGAUCAGCCACACUGGAACGGAGACACGGCCCAGACUCCGACGGGAGGCAGCAGUGGGGAAUAUUGCACAAUGGGCGCAAGCCUGAUGCAGCCAUGCCGCGUGUAUGAAGAAGGCCUUCGGGUUGUAAAGUACUUUCAGCGGGGAGGCGUUACCCACAGAAGAAGCACCGGCUAACUCCGUGCCAGCAGCCGCGGUAAUUC